CAGGCAGUUGAAGAAGAGGUGUGCCAGGACGUUCGGAUCGACUUGCGACCGGGCUCGCUCGCUCAUGCGCGCGUCGAGUACCUGUGCGAGCUCAGUGACGGAUCGCCCGACUGCGUCGGCAAAGAACGCCUCUUUUUCUUCCGGGAAGACCUGGAUCUCCU
rnacentral:misc_RNA from 1 species